GUGUAAAAAUGAAAGAAAUUUGAAGGAUGAUGAAAUUGAAAACAAUUUUAGGAAAAAGAUGUGAAAAUUUGGGUUCUGGGGGUAUUUCUGAAAGAAAAAUCGAAAACUGAGAGUUAAAAUACAAUUUAAAAAUGUUGUGCCAUGUAGGAUACCCGAUCAGCAGCUCCGACAAACUAGAACAUGUCGCGUGGCAACAGACACUGAUGCGGUUCCACGCGGGAGAUCCGCGUGCCUGCAAUCGGACAGCCCAGAUCCGCUCUCGCGCAUACGGACGACCCAGAUGUGUGCACUCCCUAGACG
rnacentral:lncRNA from 1 species